rnacentral:rRNA from 1 species
UGAAAUGGCCAUACCAGUCUCGUCAAAUCUUUGAAGCUGAGCUGGUUUGGGCCUGGUUAGUGCUUGGGUAGGAGACCACUGAGAAUAUCAGGUGCCACAC